AACAAAGCAAACCACUCCGUUGCCGACCAUACAGAGCAGGAAGAUCAGGAGGUAAGAAAUGAUGAAGACAGCUGCCACUAAAGGCUGAUGAAGGUAGAAGUCCACGUAGGAGACAUUGCCUUCUAAGUAGAGUCCAUGUUCUGAGCCCCCCCAAAUAGGAAAAAUAGUGACGAAAUGAAAUCUUUGUGAAGUGGCUCACACCUUCUGCCUGAAUGCAUCCAAAUGCAAUCCCCCUUGACUGAAAAUGAAAUAUUUUUGUGUACAGUUGGCCUGAGACCACAUCACUGCCCUGCCCACAAGCUGCAUAGAUCAGGAGAUGAGUCUGCAAACACCGAGGACUAUGCCGUGUUUAAAACACGCUCAGAUGACUGUUGUCAAACACUACAAGGCCUUUCUAGGAGAGACUUUUUCAAGUCUGAACUUUCUUGAUAUUGAACCACCUGGGCUGGUGUGAUGGCUUGAACAUAAGGGACGUGAGACUUCUGGUUUGCCUGGAGCUGAAAGAAUCCAUUUAAGGCAGGUACAGAAUUUGUAUGCCCCAAACUGAAUUACUUCCCAAUUUAA